AUUGACCUCGGAUCAGGUAGGAUACCCG
rnacentral:rRNA from 5 species